GCUCUCGUAGCUUAACGGAAAGAGCACCGGCCUCCGGAGCCGGUGAUACCAGUUCAAUUCUGGUCGGGAGCA
rnacentral:tRNA from 1 species